UGANGGAGCACGCCGCGUGUGUGAUGAAGGGUUUCGGCUCGUAAAACACUGUUGUAAGAGAAGAAUGACAUUGAGAGUAACUGUUCAAUGUGUGACGGUAUCUUACCAGAAAGGAACGGCUAAAUACGUGCCAGCAGCCGCGNNAAUA
rnacentral:rRNA from 1 species